AGAAUAGGCACAUGGCCAAGUCAGCCAGGAAGGAAAGAUAAACGGUGACUGUAUGAAGAGUAGUUUUGACCAGGGAUGAAAAGAAGAGAAAAAUGCCUUGGAAAUCUACCAGGAUUGCAACCAAAAGUUGUCACUGCUGUGGAGGAACAAUUUUUUAAUACAAUGGCAAAUACAGAGAUGUGAAAUGAAAAUCUAAAGAAUGUCACACAUCGUUCCUGCAAUGGCAAAAUCCAAAUACAUAUGAAACAUCAAACUAGCUGAUUUUAAAUACGAUCAAGCCAACCCGAGGUGCGAUUUGCUCAUCGCGAUGGCGUUUGUUCCAGGCUGUUGACAACUUCCUGAUCCGUUACAAAAAGCGAUGGGAAUGCUGACGUCUUCCCCACAUGCUGGUCUGAUGGUGACAGUAUAAGUAAUAAGCUAACUAGCUCAGCAGGCUUUUCUAAUCACUUUGGAAAGGACGAACCACACAUCCUUGUAAUGGUACCGUUAAUUUUUACUAAUGUGGAGGUUUAAGACAGAAAUGAAAUUCCUUGUUCAAAGUUACAGAGAAUUAGUAGGAAGAGAGAUGUAGAAUCUAAGAGGUUCUGCCUUCUAGUGUCGUGCUGAUAUCAUUAAUAUAAUCUUUGUCUAGAAAUAGGUGAUGAACAACAAAAGGAAGAAUUCUUAGCAGAAAGAUGGGAAUAAAAAACACGGGAGGAAAGACUAGAGAUGACUGAAAAGAAACCCGAGGAAAAUGAGACAAAAGACGACAUGAAGAAUGAAACAAUGGACAACACUGACCAUCAAGAGAGGCAAGUGCUAAUGGAUAAUCCAGAACCAUACUCCUCCAUAACCCUCUUACUCCUUACUGCCUUGAUGAUUAGGGUUCACAAAUCAGAAGGUAAGAGGAAACAAUUACUGGGGAAGAAAGAAUAAGGACAGUUGUUCAGGAUAGUAGUUGUUCCAUGAAGGGUCCUGAGUGAGGGACCAGUGCCAUCGCACCUUCUGGGUUUUUCUCCAUGGCCAAUUUAUUCCAUUGUUGUGACACUUAAUAAAUGGUUUGAGGGGCAAACCCCAAUGCUUUAAUUUACCUUUGCUUUUCUGAAGUGUUUUUCUGCCUAGCAUCAAUCAUUAUGUUAUUCAAACAUUCUUCAUGGUAGAGAUUCUUUAUCUGCUUGGACAUAGUCUCUGGUGCAUAUUCAUUAUUAUCCUCUGUACUGUUUUAUCAAGUUGGUAUCGAUGACAUGGAUUAAACCUUGUUGAAACAAUCCACUAUAGAAAUCCAGUGCAAGACUUUGGGUUUUAUGUUUUGUUUGUUUGUUUGUUUGUUUAUUUGUAGGUUGGGGUUUUUUUUGAGAAUGAUCACUCCAGCAAAAAAAGAGAUUUUGGCUAGUAGGUAUUCUCAGGAUAGUUUCCAGGGCAGCUUCUAUCAACAAACUUCACAGCCUUAAGAACUUAACUGUACAUGGCCAAGAUACGGAAGGCAACAUAGAUUAGUAUUCACAAUGAUAAAUUUCUAGAGAGACUACGUAUUUGGUGGAGAUGCAUGUUGGCACUGCUACAGCAAAAAAACACGUAACACUGUGGGUAUGGCUAUUAGUAAGAAAGCAGGAAUUUGUAAAAAUUCUAAAAAGCCCUGUUGCCUAGGAUUUUCAUAUAGUCAAGAAGCUUAUAAAAUAAACAAGAUGAUAAUUAUUUAGAAAAUAAAACUAUAAAUACCAGGUGUACACUGUCCCUUUA